UAAGCCAGUCCAGCACCCGGGAAACCAAAGCCCAAUGAGGCUCCGCCUCCUCCUAGGUUUGUGCUCUGGCCUACACAGUGCCUAUCCAGACGCGAUGCUGGCUCACUGCCGCCCAUCCGCCAAGCCCACCUCACACCUGUCGGGCUUUAGUCCCGCGCGGCACCCCCGCACCCCGAGCCCGCAGCGCCCCGCAAGUGCGCCUUGUGGGCCCGCCCCAGACUGUCGGCCCCUCCUGGCCAGGAAUCUUGCCAACUCACUCUCUGCUGCAUUCUGAUGCACAGCCCACAGCCUACCACAUAGUAGGUGCCUAAUAAAUAUUUGAGGAAUGAACAAAGGAAGGAUGGAAAGCAUGCCUCAGACAUCGAUGAAACGACUCUAGUCCCAUGCCAGCCUCCCAGGCGCCCAUAUGACUCAGACAAGGCCCUCCAGUUGGAGGAGUUGACAAGACUCACUCCAAUGCAAGAUGCAUAGAGACAGUGACUGCUUUGGUCACUGAGGUCCUCGACACACAGCAGGUGCUCAAUGAACAACUGUGGAAUGGAGGAAGACUCACCUCACCUUAGCAAGCGUUUCCCACCUCCCUGCGCAGAGAAGAGGCUGUCUUAGGAGAAAACACCGGACCAGCUGGGAGAGGGCGCUGCUAGCAGACCUGUGCUGGAGAAGCUCCUCCUCAUGAAAUGCCCUUGGCUGCCACCUCCAGCUUGCUCUGCAAAGGCUCAGCCAUCCCAGCCUCCCAAAUGUUUCCAGACCCUUUCCAGCAACCAACAGGUCUUCCUCAUAUCAGGGGAGAAGGGGUGUUCAAGAGGUUGAUCUUGGGAAACUGCAAGCAUUCUUGGCUGGAAAGAAGAAUUUGUCCCCUGGGGGAAGGUGGGGUGCUGGGGAGCCCUUGAGACCACCAGUGAAGGAAUUGAUUUCCUCCCCUGGUGCCCAGCAUUCAGACUGAUUCAGACAUCUGAUGGGCGGGUGGUCAGGGUGUCCCAAGUUCACUUAGACAAGUGACUUUCUUUGCCCUCCUAAGUGUAGAUUUCUAGUGCCCUGGGUCUGAAGGUAUAAAUAAUGUAAAUGGAGCCACUUCAAAAUGGAGGCAGAGCUGCCAUGCCCAGGAACUACCUUGCAUGAUGUGGGCCUCAAACCAUUGGAAUGUUAAAAGAGGACAAAAUAACCUUUGGACUCUGCCUAGGGCAACAUUGUGUCCCAAAGAACUGUUUGCAAAGAUAACAAGAAACUAC